rnacentral:rRNA from 1 species
UGGGGAAUAUUGCACAAUGGGGGAAACCCUGAUGCAGCGACGCCGCGUGAGCGAAGAAGUAUUUCGGUAUGCAAAGCUCUAUCAGCAGGGAAGAAAAUGACGGUACCUGACUAAGAAGCCCCGGCUAACUACGUGCCAGCAGCCGCGGUAAUACGUAGGGGGCAAGCGUUAUCCGGAUUUACUGGGUGUAAAGGGAGCGUAGACGGCAAGGCAAGUCUGAUGUGAAAGGCUGGGGCUCAACCCCGGGACUGCAUUGGAAACUGUCCUGCUGGAGUGCCGGAGAGGUAAGCGGAAUUCCUAGUGUAGCGGUGAAAUGCGUAGAUAUUAGGAGGAACACCAGUGGCGAAGGCGGCUUACUGGACGGUAACUGACGUUGAGGCUCGAAAGCGUGGGGAGCAAACAGGGAUUAGAUACCCUGGGUAGU